rnacentral:rRNA from 1 species
AUGCCGGAGUGCUUGCACUUUGGUAGACUGAGUGGCGGACGGGUGAGUAACGCGUGGGUAACCUGCCUUGUACAGGGGGAUAACAGUUGGAAACGACUGCUAAUACCGCAUAAGCGCACAGUACCGCAUGGUACGGUGUGAAAAACUCCGGUGGUACAAGAUGGACCCGCGUCUGAUUAGCUGGUUGGUGAGGUAACGGCCCACCAAGGCGACGAUCAGUAGCCGACUUGAGAGAGUGAUCGGCCACAUUGGGACUGAGACACGGCCCAAACUCC